UGGCCUAGUGGUUGAAGUGCUUGGCUGCUAACCAAAAGGCUGGUGGUUCAAUCCACC
rnacentral:tRNA from 1 species